UACGUAGGUGGCAAGCGUUGUCCGGAAUUAUUGGGCGUAAAGCGCGCGCAGGCGGUCCUUUAAGUCUGAUGUGAAAGCCCACGGCUCAACCGUGGAGGGUCAUUGGAAACUGGGGGACUUGAGUGCAGAAGAGGAGAGUGGAAUUCCACGUGUAGCGGUGAAAUGCGUAGAGAUGUGGAGGAACACCAGUGGCGAAGGCGACUCUCUGGUCUGUAACUGACGCUGAGGCGCGAAAGCGUGGGGGAGCAAACAGG
rnacentral:rRNA from 1 species